rnacentral:misc_RNA from 1 species
CCGAGUUCAUGCCCUCACGGGUAGAUCUCCCACCCUAUGUUAUCAUUACCUUCGUUGCUUUGGCGGGCGCUUACCAGCCGGAGGACCCUAAACUCUGAAUGUUAGUGUCGUCUGAGUACUAUCUAAUAGUUA